CGGACGGGUGAGUAAUGUCUGGGAAACUGCCCGAUGGAGGGGGAUAACUACUGGAAACGGUAGCUAAUACCGCAUAAUGUCUGCGGACCAAAGCGGGGGACCUCCGGGCCUCGCGCCAUCAGAUGAACCCAUAUGGGAUUAGCUAGUAGGUGAGGUAACGGCUUACCUAGGCGACGAUCCCUAGCUGGUCUGAGAGGAUGACCAGCCACACUGGAACUGAGACACGGUCCAG
rnacentral:rRNA from 1 species